CGGGAUAGCUCAGCUGGUAAAGCAAAGGACUGAAAAUCCCCGGGUC
rnacentral:tRNA from 1 species